rnacentral:RNase_P_RNA from 1 species
AAAUUGAAUAGUCGCUGGUAGAAAUCGAAAGAUACUACGAGAGGAAAGUCCGGGCUCCAUAGAGCAAUGAUGCUAGAUAACGUCUAGUGGGGGCAACCCUAAGGAAAGUGCAACAGAAAAUAACCGCCUCUUUAAGAGUUUAACCUUAUGGUUAUUCGACUUAUAAGCAAAGGAAGAAAUUCUGGAAGUUUUACAAGAGGUAAGGAUGAAAAGGCGAGGUAAGAGCUCACCGCUGUUAUGGUGACAUAGCAGGUCAGUGUAAACCCCAUCUGGAGCAACACCUAAAAAGAAGAUUAAACCUGCUCGGUGCCUUCUUGAACUGCGUGGCUUGAGAUUAUUAGCAAUAAUAAUCCUAGAUAAAUGGCUAUUUUAAAAGACAGAACCCGGCUUACAGAUUUGCUCU